rnacentral:rRNA from 1 species
GUCGAGCGGAAACGAUGAUAGCUUGCUAUCAGGUGUCGAGCGGCGGACGGGUGAGUAAUACUUAGGAAUCUACCUAGUAGUGGGGGAUAGCUCGGGGAAACUCGAAUUAAUACCGCAUACGUCCUACGGGAGAAAGGGGGCAACUUGUUGCUCUCGCUAUUAGAUGAGCCUAAGUCGGAUUAGCUAGAUGGUGGGGUAAAGGCCUACCAUGGCGACGAUCUGUAGCUGGUCUGAGAGGAUGAUCAGCCACACCGGGACUGAGACACGGCCCGGACUCCUACGGGAGGCAGCAGUGGGGAAUAUUGGACAAUGGGGGGAACCCUGAUCCAGCCAUGCCGCGUGUGUGAAGAAGGCCUUUUGGUUGUAAAGCACUUUAAGCAGUGAAGAAGACUCUUCGGUUAAUACCCGGGGACGAUGACAUUAGCUGCAGAAUAAGCACCGGCUAACUCUGUGCCAGCAGCCGCGGUAAUACAGAGGGUGCAAGCGUUAAUCGGAAUUACUGGGCGUAAAGCGAGCGUAGGUGGCUUUGAUAAGUCAGAUG